AAGAGUACUAAUCUUAUUAUCGAUUACAGAUACCUUAUUUGGAACCGAAAAGUCUAGAAUACACUAGUUAUAUAUAUUGCUGACGUGGCGUCUCUAGCCAAUAUGAUUGUCCCCCUUAAGUUCAUCCGCCCCAUUAUGAUUAAUAGAAGAAUAUUUUUAUCUCAAAAUGAGAGAUGUGAUUGACUUGUUACAGAUAAUAUGGUACAAGUGUGACAUUGUAGACUUCCUCCUUCGGAACAGUACUCCUCAUGUAC
rnacentral:lncRNA from 1 species